UAAGCGACUAAGCGUACACGGUGGAUGCCCUGGCAGUCAGAGGCGAUGAAGGACGUGCUAAUCUGCGAUAAGCGUCGGUAAGGUGAUAUGAACCGUUAUAACCGGCGAUUUCCGAAUGGGGAAACCCAGUGUGAUUCGUCACACUAUCAUUAACUGAAUCCAUAGGUUAAUGAGGCGAACCGGGGGAACUGAAACAUCUAAGUACCCCGAGGAAAAGAAAUCAACCGAGAUUCCCCCAGUAGCGGCGAGCGAACGGGGAGCAGCCCAGAGCCUGAAUCAGUGUGUGUGUUAGUGGAAGCGUCUGGAAAGGCGCGCGAUACAGGGUGACAGCCCCGUACACAAAAAUGCACAUAUUGUGAGCUCGAUGAGUAGGGCGGGACACGUGGUAUCCUGUCUGAAUAUGGGGGGACCAUCCUCCAAGGCUAAAUACUCCUGACUGACCGAUAGUGAACCAGUACCGUGAGGGAAAGGCGAAAAGAACCCCGGCGAGGGGAGUGAAAAAGAACCUGAAACCGUGUACGUACAAGCAGUGGGAGCACGCUUAGGCGUGUGACUGCGUACCUUUUGUAUAAUGGGUCAGCGACUUAUAUUCUGUAGCAAGGUUAACCGAAUAGGGGAGCCGAAGGGAAACCGAGUCUUAACUGGGCGUUAAGUUGCAGGGUAUAGACCCGAAACCCGGUGAUCUAGCCAUGGGCAGGUUGAAGGUUGGGUAACACUAACUGGAGGACCGAACCGACUAAUGUUGAAAAAUUAGCGGAUGACUUGUGGCUGGGGGUGAAAGGCCAAUCAAACCGGGAGAUAGCUGGUUCUCCCCGAAAGCUAUUUAGGUAGCGCCUCGUGAAUUCAUCUCCGGGGGUAGAGCACUGUUUCGGCAAGGGGGUCAUCCCGACUUACCAACCCGAUGCAAACUGCGAAUACCGGAGAAUGUUAUCACGGGAGACACACGGCGGGUGCUAACGUCCGUCGUGAAGAGGGAAACAACCCAGACCGCCAGCUAAGGUCCCAAAGUCAUGGUUAAGUGGGAAACGAUGUGGGAAGGCCCAGACAGCCAGGAUGUUGGCUUAGAAGCAGCCAUCAUUUAAAGAAAGCGUAAUAGCUCACUGGUCGAGUCGGCCUGCGCGGAAGAUGUAACGGGGCUAAACCAUGCACCGAAGCUGCGGCAGCGACACUGUGUGUUGUUGGGUAGGGGAGCGUUCUGUAAGCCUGUGAAGGUAUACUGUGAGGUAUGCUGGAGGUAUCAGAAGUGCGAAUGCUGACAUAAGUAACGAUAAAGCGGGUGAAAAGCCCGCUCGCCGGAAGACCAAGGGUUCCUGUCCAACGUUAAUCGGGGCAGGGUGAGUCGACCCCUAAGGCGAGGCCGAAAGGCGUAGUCGAUGGGAAACAGGUUAAUAUUCCUGUACUUGGUGUUACUGCGAAGGGGGGACGGAGAAGGCUAUGUUGGCCGGGCGACGGUUGUCCCGGUUUAAGCGUGUAGGCUGGUUUUCCAGGCAAAUCCGGAAAAUCAAGGCUGAGGCGUGAUGACGAGGCACUACGGUGCUGAAGCAACAAAUGCCCUGCUUCCAGGAAAAGCCUCUAAGCAUCAGGUAACAUCAAAUCGUACCCCAAACCGACACAGGUGGUCAGGUAGAGAAUACCAAGGCGCUUGAGAGAACUCGGGUGAAGGAACUAGGCAAAAUGGUGCCGUAACUUCGGGAGAAGGCACGCUGAUAUGUAGGUGAAGUCCCUCGCGGAUGGAGCUGAAAUCAGUCGAAGAUACCAGCUGGCUGCAACUGUUUAUUAAAAACACAGCACUGUGCAAACACGAAAGUGGACGUAUACGGUGUGACGCCUGCCCGGUGCCGGAAGGUUAAUUGAUGGGGUUAGCGCAAGCGAAGCUCUUGAUCGAAGCCCCGGUAAACGGCGGCCGUAACUAUAACGGUCCUAAGGUAGCGAAAUUCCUUGUCGGGUAAGUUCCGACCUGCACGAAUGGCGUAAUGAUGGCCAGGCUGUCUCCACCCGAGACUCAGUGAAAUUGAACUCGCUGUGAAGAUGCAGUGUACCCGCGGCAAGACGGAAAGACCCCGUGAACCUUUACUAUAGCUUGACACUGAACAUUGAGCCUUGAUGUGUAGGAUAGGUGGGAGGCUUUGAAGUGUGGACGCCAGUCUGCAUGGAGCCGACCUUGAAAUACCACCCUUUAAUGUUUGAUGUUCUAACGUAGACCCGUGAUCCGGGUUGCGGACAGUGUCUGGUGGGUAGUUUGACUGGGGCGGUCUCCUCCUAAAGAGUAACGGAGGAGCACGAAGGUUGGCUAAUCCUGGUCGGACAUCAGGAGGUUAGUGCAAUGGCAUAAGCCAGCUUGACUGCGAGCGUGACGGCGCGAGCAGGUGCGAAAGCAGGUCAUAGUGAUCCGGUGGUUCUGAAUGGAAGGGCCAUCGCUCAACGGAUAAAAGGUACUCCGGGGAUAACAGGCUGAUACCGCCCAAGAGUUCAUAUCGACGGCGGUGUUUGGCACCUCGAUGUCGGCUCAUCACAUCCUGGGGCUGAAGUAGGUCCCAAGGGUAUGGCUGUUCGCCAUUUAAAGUGGUACGCGAGCUGGGUUUAGAACGUCGUGAGACAGUUCGGUCCCUAUCUGCCGUGGGCGCUGGAGAACUGAGGGGGGCUGCUCCUAGUACGAGAGGACCGGAGUGGACGCAUCACUGGUGUUCGGGUUGUCAUGCCAAUGGCACUGCCCGGUAGCUAAAUGCGGAAGAGAUAAGUGCUGAAAGCAUCUAAGCACGAAACUUGCCCCGAGAUGAGUUCUCCCUGACUCCUUGAGAGUCCUGAAGGAACGUUGAAGACGACGACGUUGAUAGGCCGGGUGUGUAAGCGCAGCGAUGCGUUGAGCUAACCGGUACUAAUGAACCGUGAGGCUUAACCU
rnacentral:rRNA from 1 species